GCCUGGGUAGCCCAACUUGGUAGAGGCGGCCGACUCAGACUCGGUCCGUUGGGGGUUCGAGUCCCUCCCCAGGCA
rnacentral:tRNA from 1 species